GAUGAACGCUGGCGGCGUGCCUAAUACAUGCAAGUCGAGCGAACAGACGAGGAGCUUGCUCCUCUGACGUUAGCGGCGGACGGGUGAGUAACACGUGGAUAACCUACCUAUAAGACUGGGAUAACUUCGGGAAACCGGAGCUAAUACCGGAUAAUAUAUUGAACCGCAUGGUUCAAUAGUGAAAGACGGUUUUGCUGUCUCUUAUAGAUGGAUCCGCGCCGCAUUAGCUAGUUGGUAAGGUAACGGCUUACCAAGGCAACGAUGCGUAGCCGACCUGAGAGGGUGAUCGGCCACCCUGGAACUGAGACGCGGUCCAGACUCCUACGGGAGGCAGCAGUAGGGAAUCUUCCGCAAUGGGCGAAAGCCUGACGGAGCAGCGCCGCGUGAGUGAUGGAGGUCUUCGGAUCGUAAAACUCUGUUAUUAGGGAAGAACAAAUGUGUAAGUAACUAUGCACGUCUUGACGGUACCUAAUCAGAAAGCCACGGCUAACUACGUG
rnacentral:rRNA from 1 species